AACAGGACACACAGCAGACCCGUAGAAUGGCAGCACUCCUGCCUCAGAAUCAACCCUUGGGACAUUCGGAUCUGGCUAAAAGGUCCAUGAGAGUCUCACAGGCAUGGAAAGCCAUGACACGGUGGCAAAAAAAACAAUCUAAAUGAAAGAUCCUGGUGAACAAGACUCCAGCAGAAGGAACAGGCCAUCAAGGAGAGAGGCGCCUUUCUCUGAAGGGAGGAAGGAACCUCCACUGUGAUACGGCCUUGACUAAACAAGUUCAGAGUCGGUGAACUCAAGGGUUUUCCAUGGCCUAGACAGCUCAUAGCUAGAGUCUCGGGUGAUUGCUGACGUCAUAAAUAAGAGUGCCAAUUGUUAAAUCAACAAUGGGAGUCACUGGGUACAUGCUCCCCAUGAAGGAUCUCCGUCCUUAAUGUGUUUUACUAUGAAACUUAAAAACAACACUACUAGUCGAACAAUACCCUAUACCUUGAGCGGUUGUGUGAGUACAGCCUGUUGAAAUCCCUGCUUAGUAUAUACUAAGUUGAUCUUCAGUAUAUGAAGGUCACACAACCAGGAAGAUUGGGCUUGAUUCCUAUCCAGGCUGAUUGACUUCUGAGUAUGGAUUUCUACCCAUGAUGUAUGGUGUCCUCUUAGAGGAAAAAGAACUGCAGAAACUGGCAGGCAGCUGAACGUAGAGUCAGAGACACAGACAGAGAGAAAGGUCUUCCUUCCAUUGGUUCACUCCCCAAAUGUCCGCUACAGCCGAUGCUGCACCGAUCUGAAGCCAGGAGCCAGGUGCUUCCUCCUGGUCUUCCAUGCAGGUGCAGGACCCAAGCACUUAGGCCAUCCUCCACUGCCUUCCCGGGCCACAGCAGAGAGCUGGACUGGAAGAGGAGCAGCUGGACUAGAACCCGGCACCCAUAUGGAAUUCCAACACUGCAGGCAGAGGAUUAACUAAAGAUCAACUGGACAAAUAGAUUCAUCAGUCACCAGGCCCUGGAGAGGAUUCAGGACUCAACAUAGAAGUGAACCAUGCUGCAGGAUUGAGUGGGACUUUCAAGGAAGAUGUGAAUUGUGCUGGCAGUUCUUAGAGAAUCUACAGAGCAGAUGGCCAAGGCACAUGGCAGUUGUUCUUUCCCUUCUGCAAAUGUGGGGUUGAGGAAAAUGAAUUUCUGGAAUUGUUUAAAUUCACGGAGCAGGUCAGCAAAACAACUGGAAUUGGAACAAACUGUCUGCAUCUUCGCACUUUCUCUUUUCUGAAGGAAAAUUGAUUUCCUACAGAUUUCAGAGUUUGAUCUGCUUGGUAGUGUGAGAUUAUGGGAAAUCAUUCGACCUCUCCCAGGUGUGAAACAUUGGCAGGCACUAAAUGUUAAUAUUCUUCAGAGAAUUUUCUUCAUGCCCUGUAAUUUCAGCCCAAAGCAUUUCACUACUCUUUUUUAAGUUUAUCUUAGCACAGUUCUAUCAAUUAAGCUCUUAAGUAAUAGGAAGCCCAAGGAGAUAUUAUUACAGAUUAAAUAUAUUUCCCAGAAUUUCAUGUGCCAGUGCUCAGGAAGAUGUAAGUCCUUUGGUUAUGGUGUUUAGGAAAAGAACAUCCCAUGGAAAUAAUUUUCCAGCUUCCACCUAUAUGUGACUAAUUCACUGUGACUUUUUUCACAGCAUCUUUGUCGUCAUUUAGAUGCCCUGACACAUCAUGGAUCACUGGGUGCUCCAGUCACUGUGUCUUGUGCUGACAUACUCUGCUAUGCAUUGCAUUUCACCUGCAAGUGAAAUUCUGAGAAAACAUUUCAAAUAGCUUAUCUGAAUUUUUUUUUUUUGACAGGCAGAGUGGACAGUGAGAGAGAGAGAGAGACAGAGAGAAAGGUCUUCCUUUUGCCAUUGGUUCACCCUCCAAUGGCCACCGUGGCCGGCGCGCUUUGGCUGGUGCAUCGCGCUGAUCCGAAGCCAGGAGCUAGGUGCCUCUCCUGUUCUCCCAUGUGGGUGCAGGGCCAAGGACUUGGGCCAUACUCCACUGCACUCCUGGGCCACAGCAGAGAGUUGGCCUGGAAGAGGGGCAACCGGGUCAGAAUCCGGAGCCCUGACUGGGACUAGAACCUGGUGUGCCGGUGCUGCAGGAGGAGGAUUAGCCUAUUGAGCCGUGGCGCCGGCCUAUCUGAAUUUUUGACACUGAUUUUGCAAUAUCAAUUACAGAUACAUAGAUUUCCUACACACACAAGCAUCUUUACAUGCCAGGAUACUGAUAUCUGGUACCUGCACUGAUAAUUCUCAACUCCAACUGAUAGUAUAAACCCCAUAGCCAUUUUCUUGUCAAGUAGGCUAAAAGCUUUUCAUAUUUUAAUUCUCUUCCUCCUUAGGAAAUCAAAUAUGACAUUUUGUUGUUUUUGCUUGAACCAUAUUUCUCCAGUUCUGUAUUUCCCAAAUUGGGUGUAUGAAGUACUAGCAUCUUGUGAGAUGUUAACAGGCUUUCCACGUCAUCAAAUGUGGUUUGAAAAUGGUACAUUAAAAAAGGUUAAGCACAUUUGUUUAUGGUAAGACUUUUUAGAUUGUUAAUAUAUUUGUGUGCAGUUCAAAUAUUCAGGAGGUAAAUGAAAUACAUGCCAACUACAAAUAUAUCUAAACAAUCCUCCCAAUUCACUAAUAUAAAUAAUAAUAUAUUAAUAUUUAAAGGUAAAUAAAAGGUAAAUUAGUAAAUGCUAGUGCCCUCUUGCGUACAGUUUGGAAAUACUGCUUGACUUUCUCUUCAUUUCCUUGACACAUUUCUCUUUGGACCCAAUCAAAAUUGCUUUAGGUUCUUAUAGGUGAGACUUAAAGUUAUCCUUAUUUCCAAUCUCUUACCUCUAAAUUUAAUUUUCUCCUGGUUAGUAUUUGGUUUCUUAUCAUUGCAUAGAUAAAAUUAUAUUGCCCUCUUCCUGAACACCAUUUAAUCUUCUGUGAUGUUUCCAGAAUACAUUAUCCAAUUAAUAAACUCUGUUAUGACAUUCAAAGUCAUUGCUGAUCAAGCAACUUAAACUUUCUGUUUAGUAUCUUCACAAAUCUAUAUUCUGUGCUAAUGACAUUUCAUUAGACUAUUGCAAAUCUUCUUUUCAUUUCUAAGAUCCAUCCCAAGGAUUUAUACACCAUGUAUUACCUGGGCCUAAACUGUCCAAUUGUUAUUUGCCUUCUUCACUUCUAAGCAUAGAAGAUGGUAUUAAUUUUGAGAAUUAUACCUUACAAAGGAUACAUUACAAAAAGAAUAUAAAAAUGAAGUAUAAGAAAAUAAGAACCAAAUAUAACCCUACUACCUAGAAAUAGCUGUAGUUAAAACUUGCCACAUAGCUUUGCAGUAGCAUAUGUAUUGCAGGUAGAAAUAUCUCAAUGUUUCUAACUCUAUAUAUUUUUAUCUCUGCCAUCUCCACAUCGUAUUCCAUUUUGUACUAGUAUAACAGAAUGUCCAGAAUUCAUUUAUAAUGAUCAGAAAUCUGUUGGCUCAAUUCUGAGGGCUGGCAAGUCCAAGUUCAAGGCAUAAGCAUCUGGCAAAGGCCUUCUUACUGUGUCAUUGACAGGUGGAAGGAGAGAGGGUGUUGGUGGGGUGGGAAGAGAAUCUACCUAUUCCUGCAAUAAUAAACCCACUCAUAUGGUAACAUUAUUAGUCCAGUCACAAGGGCAGAACCCUCACAGUCUAAAUACCUCUUAAAGGUCUCACCUCCAGUGGCUGUCAAAAUGGUAAUGAAAUUCCAAGUUUUUGAGAGGAUUCUCAAAUCACGGGGCAGGCACACAGCACACAUGGGUGUCUACACAGAGGUUAUGCUAUACUGUCUUACAGGUUAAGAAACAUUUUAGAUGGCAAAUAAAAAUCCUGAAAGAGGUUGGAACAUUGUGCUGAAUUUGAUAAAAGGAAUUUAAAAAAAUGACAGAUGCCUAAGGGGCUGGUGCUGUGAUGUAGAGGGUUAAGCCCCUACCCGCAAUGCUUGUAUCUCAUAUGAGCACUGGUUUGAGUCCUGGCUGAUCUGCUUCUGAUCCAGCUCCCUGCUGGUGGCUUGGGAGGACAGCCCAGGUUUGCCUUAGUGCUUGGGCCCCUGCCACUGAUGUGGGAGACCUUGAAGAAGCUCCUGGCCUUGGCCUGGUGCAGCCCCGGCCUUGUGGCCAUCUAGGAUGUGAACCAUUGCAAUAGGACUACAGAUCCAUUUAAAGGAAUGGAUAUCUUUGAAUUUAAGCAGUUUUAACUGUAUUCAUGAUAGUAAUGUACCUCUUUCUUUAUUUGAUAUGAAUUUCUCCUUUUAUAGUUUUCAGCUUAGAAUUCUGGGACUUAGGAUUUAAAGCAAAUAAUCUGUGAUCCCUUUAUUUACCUCUGAUUAAUGACCCAGGCUAUUCUGCAUAUAAAUAUAGUAACUCAAUCUCUAAACAAAUAGACUGUUCAUAGUUGCUAGGAGAAUGUUUUUACCUAUGGAAUGAUUGAAGGAGGAUAUUCCUGGUUUCGGUUUACUUACUGUAAAUAAAUCUACAAUUUAUUGACUUAUAACACAUGACUCCUUAGAGAAUGCCACAUAAGCUAUAAUGCUCUCUGGGUUAUAAAAUUAGUUGUUUUAUAAAUUUAAAUUUCCUGAUUAAUUGACCAACAAAUCUCAUUAGAGAUAGCAAGUAUUAUUCUAGAACCAAUAACUCUUAUCUCAUGUUAGGAAGGAAGGAAUUAGGUAGCCAAAUGGUGUUUCAGAACCUUUCCUGCUUUGCAGGUGCCUCUUCACUGUGCCACAUCCUUAAAAUUAUCAGUAAAGCUUAAUAAAGCCUAAGAGCUGUGGUUUGUGAGUUUUACUUGAAAAUCAUAUACUUUGUAUUAGUUCAAAUGCUUGAACAUAUUUUCUUAGAUUUAUUCUUAGGUUCAUGGUAUUUUCAGGAUAUUUUAAAUGUAAUUUUAAAAUUCUUACUUUCUGACUGUUUCUGGCAUGCAGAAAUAUAGUUGACUUACUUUGUGCCAUCAGUCUUUGAAGCUGUGAUCAUUAAUUCUAAUGGUCUAUUUUAUUUGUUAUUAUUUAAAAUAUAUUUUAUUUACAUAAGGUGAAAAACUUUCAUGUAUUUCGUAUAUACAGACUUAGGAGCAUAGUGAUACUUCCCAUUCUAUCCUUUUCUCCUGACCAUGUUCCCACGCCCCUUCCUCCUUCCUAUUUUUUCUUUUAAUUUUACAAUGACAUACGAAAACUGAAAAGCUUAUUUUAUAAUCCUAAGCUUAACCCUACACUAAGUAAAGAAUUCAACAAAUAGUAAGUUGAAAUAAACUACUGUUUAUCAAGAAUAUAGAUAAGGGCUGUAAUGAUAAUCAGAUCUCAGAAUGUCAAUUUUCUUCAAAAACAUUUUUUUUUUUGUAUUCUGUAUAUGAGUUACCACAGAUCAGGGAAAAUAUAUGAUAUUUGUCUUUUUUGAGCUGGCUUAUUUUACUGAGCAUAAUGAUUUCCAGAUGUAUCCAUUGCAAAAGACAGAAUUUCAUUUUUUAUAGCUGAAUAGUAUUCCAUAGUGUAUAAUCCCCAUUUUCCCUAACUUCUUCAUCCAGUCUUCAGUUGAUGAACAUCUGGGUUGAUUUCAUAUCUUAGCUAGUAUGAAUUCAGCUACAGUGAACUUCAGAGUACAGGUAACUCUCUCAUAUACUGAUUUCAAUUCGGUUGGGUAAAUUCCCAGGAGUGAGAUGGCUAAGUCAUAUAUAGAUCUAUUUUCAGAGAAAUCUCCAUACUGUCUUCCAUAAUGGUUGUACUAGAUUACAUUCCCCCAAGAGUGGAUUAGGAUACGUUUUUCUUCACAUUAUUGCAAGCAUUUAUUGUGUUUUGAUUUUUGGAUUACAGCCAUUCUAACUGUGGUGAAGGAAAACCUCACUGUGCUUUUGAUUGUAUUUCCCUGAUGGCUAGUGAUCCUGAGCAUUUUUUCAUGUCUCUGUUGGUCAUUUGAAUUUCAUCUCUUGAAAAAUGCCUGUUAAUGUCCUUUGCCCAUUUCUUAACUGGAUUGUUGUUUUGUUGUUGUUGAGUUAUUUGAAUUCUUUAUAGAUUCUGGAUAUUAAUCCUUUAUAGUUUGAAAAUACCUUAUUUACAUUCUGUUGUUUGGCUCUUCACUUUGCUGAGUGUUUCCUUUGCAGUGAGAAGCUUCUUAGUUUGAUGUUAUCCCAUUUGUCAAUUUUGGCUUUGAUUGCCUGUGCUUCUGGAUUCUUUUUCAUUGUU